UACGUAGGGCGCAAGCGUUGUCCGGAAUUAUUGGGCGUAAAGAGCUCGUAGGCGGCCUGUCACGUCGGCUGUGAAAACCCGAGGCUCAACCUCGGGCCUGCAGUCGAUACGGGCAAACUAGAGUACUGCAGGGGAGACUGGAAUUCCUGGUGUAGCGGUGAAAUGCGCAGAUAUCAGGAGGAACACCGGUGGCGAAGGCGGGUCUCUGGGCAGUAACUGACGCUGAGGAGCGAAAGCGUGGGGAGCGAACAGG
rnacentral:rRNA from 1 species